rnacentral:misc_RNA from 1 species
UAGUAGGUUUGCCGCGGGAGCC